UGGGGUGUGGCUCAGUGGCGGAGCCCUUACCUGGUGUCUGCGAGGCCCUGGGUUCGAUUCUCAGCACCACAU
rfam:Ictidomys tridecemlineatus contig080744, whole genome shotgun sequence.